GCCGGCCCGUUCUUGGCGUAGGAGGAGGACAUGGUUCAGGGCCGCAUGGCGGUCACUGACUUUGAGUUAUGAAAAAAGAACCUACAGCAGCUUGACAGUGAAGAGCUCUCUGCAUCUACCCUCCAGCAACACUGUUGACUCCCUUAUUGAAUACUUUUCACGACCAUUUGGCCUUCCUCCAGACCAUUGCAAGGGUCUGUGAUGUACACUUUCCUGCCACAAGUCAGAAAGAAAUGUUCACUUGCUUCUGCCUCUGCUGCAACCCCUGGGCUAAGGCUGGAGAAAUGAGCUUGCUGUUCUGGAAAGCAUCUUGUUUACUGACUUCCAUGUAGAGGAAUAUAUGGUUUCCAUAUAGAGGAAGGUGGUUGGGAAUGCAUGUUGAAUGAGCCAAAUGACAGUAUCUGACAGAGACAGAUCAACAUACACAGGGACAGAUCAUCCCGUGCAAGGUGGAACCACUAUGACAUAGUUACA